rnacentral:lncRNA from 9 species
CUGUGAUCUUACCAUGGAGAUGCCACAUUCCAAGUCUGCCUGUUUGAAUCCCUCUCCUAUGACAUAGAGCAGUUCUUGGCUGUUUAAUAACAUAUACCUCCUGUAUUUGUGGGAGAAACCCAGAAAAAUUUAUUACAGGGGAAGUUCUACAUCUUUACAUAGCAGGGGUUCUCAGCUUGAGAAUUUCCUCGGCUGUAUGCAAGGCAUUUGGCUUGUUAAACACUGGGAGAACUAAGAAGCUCUGAGAACAAGCUUUCCAGAUGUGAAAAACAAGCCACACAAAUGUGAUUCAAGAACAAUAGUUCAGAAUUGGAAGAGGAUGGAGAUUUGGAUACAGCUCAAGGUCAAGCAAGAGAGCACCCACUGGCUAUUUACAUUUCCACAAGAAAACAACAGACAACUUAUCGCUACCUAUAAAUAUAGUGAAGGACAUCUGAAAUGACUAG